rnacentral:rRNA from 1 species
ACGGCUCAGUAACACGUCGAUAAUCUGCCCUAAGGUCGAGGAUACCCACGGAAAACUGUGGUUAAUACUUGAUAUUGAAUGGAUUCUGGAAUGAGCCAUUCAUUAAACGUAAGGCCUUAGGAUGAGUCGGCGGCGGAUUAGGCAGUUGGCGGUGUAACGGACCACCAAACCUAAGAUCCGUAGGGGCCCUGAGAGGGGUAGCCCCGAGAGGGACACUGAAAUACUGGUCCCAGCUCCACGGAGUGCAGCAGGCGCGAAACCUCCACAAUGCGCGAAAGCGUGAUGGGGGGAUUCUGAGUGCUUACAUUUUAUGUAAGCUUUUGCCAAGAGUUCACAUCUUGGAGAAUAAGUGGUGGGAAAGACCGGUGCCAGCAGCCGCGGUAACCCCGGCGCCACAAGUGGCAAUCUUAUAUUGGGCCUAAAGCAUUCGUAGCCGGUUUGAAUAAUCUUUUGUGAAAUUGUUGAACUCAAUACAACAGCGUGCAGAAGACACUUUCAGACUAGAGACUGGGAGGAGUUGGGGGUAUGCCUAGGGGAACGGUUAAAUGUGAUAAUCCUAGGUAGACCACCUGUGGCGAAGGCGCCCAACUAGAACAGUUCUGACGGUGAGGGAUGAAAGCUAGGGGAGCGAUCCGGAUUAGAUACCCGAGUAGUCCUAGCUGUAAACACUGCGAGCUAGGUGUUGCAUAUUCUACGAGAAUAUGCA